ensembl:ncRNA Y50D4C.7 ncRNA
UAAGCUUAAGCCUAAGCCUACGUUUCAGCCUAAAUUUGAGCCUAAGCCUAAGCCUAAA